UACGGAGGGGGCUAGCGUUGUUCGGAAUUACUGGGCGUAAAGCGCACGUAGGCGGCUUUGUAAGUUAGAGGUGAAAGCCCGGGGCUCAACUCCGGAAUUGCCUUUAAGACUGCAUCGCUAGAAUUGUGGAGAGGUAAGUGGAAUUCCGAGUGUAGAGGUGAAAUUCGUAGAUAUCAGGAGGAACACCUGCGGUGUAGACGGCUUUCUGGACCAUUGUUGACGCUGAGACACGAAAGCGUGGGUAGCAAACAGG
rnacentral:rRNA from 1 species